UACGUAGGGUGCAAGCGUUGUCCGGAAUUAUUGGGCGUAAAGGGCUCGUAGGCGGUUUGUCGCGUCGAAUGUGAAAACCCGGGGCUCAACCCCGGGCCUGCAUUCGAUACGGGCAGACUAGAGUUCGGUAGGGGAGUCUGGAAUUCCUGGUGUAGCGGUGAAAUGCGCAGAUAUCAGGAGGAACACCGGUGGCGAAGGCGGGACUCUGGGCCGAUACUGACGCUGAGGAGCGAAAGCGUGGGGAGCAAACAGG
rnacentral:rRNA from 1 species